CAGUAGCCGCGGGAAUACGUAGGUGGCAAGCGUUGUCCGGAAUUAUUGGGCGUAAAGCGCGCGCAGGCGGAUCAGUCAGUCUAUCUUAAAAGUUCGGGGCUUAACCCCGUGAUGGGAUGGAAACUGCUGAUCUAGAGUAUCGGAGAGGAAAGUGGAAUUCCUAGUGUAGCGGUGAAAUGCGUAGAUAUUGGGAGGAACACCGGCGGCGAAGGCGGCUUACUGACGACAACUGACGUUGAGGCUCGAAGGCGUGGGUAGCAAACUGGAUUAGAGACCCCAGUAGUCCCUGUCUCUUAUACAC
rnacentral:rRNA from 1 species